rnacentral:rRNA from 1 species
UACGGAGGAUCCGAGCGUUAUCCGGAUUUAUUGGGUUUAAAGGGUGCGUAGGCGGCCUAUUAAGUCAGGGGCGAAAGACGGUAGCUUAACUAUCGCAGUGCCUUUGAUACUGAUGGGCUUGAAUAUACUUGAGGUAGGCGGAAUGUGACAAGUAGCGGUGAAAUGCAUAGAUAUGUCACAGAACACCAAUUGCGAAGGCAGCUUACUAAGGUAUGAUUGACGCUGAGGCACGAAAGCGUGGGGAUCAAACAGG